rnacentral:rRNA from 1 species
GAUGAACGCUAGCGGCAGGCUUAACACAUGCAAGUCGAGGGGUAUAGUUCUUCGGAACUAGAGACCGGCGCACGGGUGCGUAACGCGUAUGCAAUCUACCUUUUACAGAGGGAUAGCCCAGAGAAAUUUGGAUUAAUACCUCAUAGUAUGUGAGAAUCGCAUGGUUUUCACAUUAAAGUUCCAACGGUAAAAGAUGAGCAUGCGUCCCAUUAGCUAGAUGGUAAGGUAACGGCUUACCAUGGCGACGAUGGGUAGGGGUCCUGAGAGGGAGAUCCCCCACACUGGUACUGAGACACGGACCAGACUCCUACGGGAGGCAGCAGUGAGGAAUAUUGGACAAUGGGCGCAAGCCUGAUCCAGCCAUGCCGCGUGCAGGAUGACGGUCCUAUGGAUUGUAAACUGCUUUAUCUGGGAAGAAAAAGUCCAAUGCGUGGAAAAUUGCCGGUACCAGAUGAAUAAGCACCGGCUAACUCCGU